rnacentral:rRNA from 1 species
GGAGUUAGCCGGUGCUUCUUCUGCGAGUAACGUCACAGAUGUAAGGUAUUAACUUACACCCUUUCCUCCUCGCUGAAAGUGCUUUACAACUCGAAGGCCUUCUUCACACACGCGGCAUGGCUGCAUCAGGGUUUCCCCCAUUGUGCAAUAUUCCCCACUGCUGCCUCCCGUAGGAGUCUGGGCCGUGUCUCAGUCCCAGUGUGGCUGAUCAUCCUCUCAGACCAGCUAGGGAUCGUCGCCUAGGUGAGCCUUUACCUCACCUACUAGCUAAUCCCACCUGGGCUUAUCCAUCAGCGCAAGGCCCGAAGGUCCCCUGCUUUCCCCCGUAGGGCGUAUGCGGUAUUAGCAGUCGUUUCCAACUGUUAUCCCCCACAAAUGGGCAAAUUCCCAGGCAUUACUCACCCGUCCGCCGCUCGUCAUCUUCAAAGCAAGCUUUUGAAAUGUUACCGCUCGACUUGCAUGUGUUAGGCCUGCCGCCAGCGUUCAAUCUGAACCAGAUCAAAUUCUGA